UUUAUUUUUAUGAUAAUUACAAUCUUAAACUUUUAGGAAGUUUAGAUAAAAAAUUUAAAUAUAU
rnacentral:tRNA from 1 species